rnacentral:rRNA from 1 species
AGAGCGAACGCUGGCGGCGUGCUUAACACAUGCAAGUCGAACGCGCAGCAUUCUGUAGCAAUACAGGGUGUGGGCGCGUGGCGAACGGGUGCGUAACACGUGGAUAACCUUCCUUCAGGUGGGGAAUAACCCAGUGAAAAUUGGGCUAAUACCGCAUAACAUGACGAUGCCACAUGGUGUUGUCUUCAAAGGCGCAAGUCGCCAGAAGAGGGAUCCGCGGCCGAUUAGCUUGUUGGCGAGGUAAUGGCUCACCAAGGCAAUGAUCGGUAGCCGGACUGAGAGGUUGGCCGGCCACACUGGAACUGAGACACGGUCCAGACUCCUACGGGAGGCAGCAGUGGGGAAUCUUGCACAAUGGACGAAAGUCUGAUGCAGCAACGCCGCGUGGGGGAUGAAGCUUUCGGAGUGUAAACCCUUUCGACCCGGAAGAAUGCCGCAAGGGUUUGACGGUACGGGUAUAAGAGCCCGGCUAACUACGUGCCAGCAGCCGCGGUAAC